rnacentral:lncRNA from 1 species
CACCCACAUGGCUGAGCUGGCACCAUAGGGUGAGGGCACCAGGGCCAUGGGGACCGUGGUUGCUUGCCUCAGACAUGGCCAGCAAGGGAGGCACAACAUGGGGCUGUUGAGUGAAUGUGUGAGAGGCUGUGGGUCCCCACAGUCCAGCCACCAGCGGCCUCGCAGCAUCAUAGGAGUCUGAGGUCCAAGACACCGGACUCACAUCUCAACCCUGCCCUGUGCUGCUCAGGGCCAAGUCUAAGCUGCUGUGACAAAGAGGCCCCCACAUGCAGCAGCUGCCACAGAACACGGUCAUCUGUUUUUCAUGCACGCUGUAGCCCUGGUCAUUCCAGCCAGAGCCUCCAGGUUUUGUUGCUCUUCCAGGGCACGUUCUGGGCUGUGUGAUGGAGGCUGGACUGUGGGCUCCUCUGAGGAGGUAGAGGGAUGCGCACCAGGGCCCCCGUGUUGAGGCUCGGCUCCCACCCCAUCACCUCUACUCUAGUGAGGCCACUUCCUGCGAAGGUAGCUGGAUGCUCCUGCCUGGAGCUGCCCCCGGACCACAGAGCAUCCAGGAGAUGAAUGCACUUCCAGCCCCGCCACCCUGGGGAGAUAUACAGCUGAGGUGGCAGCUUUGGAGCAAGCAGGGCAGAGAUGCUUCCCCCUGAGGUCCCUCCCAGCUCUGCUACCUUGUCACUCAAGCACUCAUAAUCCAGGUUCAGUUUCUGCCAGCACUAAUUUGGUUUAUUCCACAUGGCUGGAGCCACUGCGGGACUCCAUUUGUUCCGGGGCCACCUUCCUGUCACCUUUUACUGUUUCUUGAGUCAGCAAGAAAGGCAGAUCCGACUGAAGACUCCAGCACUCUCCUCAGCUGCAGCCCCCACAGAGCUCCGCGAAGUCCUUUCUCCCACAGGACAGAUCUGAGGCACCCACCAUUAGAAGAAAGGAGUGGAGAAAUGAUAUGCAGGAAGAAGGCCCAUUCUGAUUCACCAAUCGCAUGGACGCACUUUCCUACCAGGCUAGGAGGGAGGAAAGUAGAGCCCCACCCUGACUGCUAAGCCGUUUGCUUUGGUGUCAUGAAAAAAGAGUUCAGCUUCCCAAAUCAGAGAGGAAAAGGUUUUCAAGGGGUCCCCUAUUUCUAUUAUGUAAGCUUUAAAUGACAAAGUGGACCUCUGGGGCCAACGUGGGUGUGUGAUGGUGGUUUUGUGGGAUUCUCCCCAUAGCCCCAUCAGACGGCCUCACCUUCUGGGUCUCAGUGGCCCCAGGUGCAACACGGCUCCUCCAGAAAUGAUGACAGCCCUGGCGACCAAGGACUCCCUGUGCCACUGGGUUUGCGCUCAGAAGUAUAUUCAAUGAUUUCCCCAGAAAAUUCCAAGUCAUCUCCUAAUACUGUUUGUGAAAACUA